GUCAGGAUGGCCCGAAUGGUCUAAGGCUCUGCGUUCAGGUCGCAGUCUCCCCUGGAGGCGUGGGUUCGAAUCCCACUUCUGACA
rnacentral:tRNA from 1 species